ACUGCGAGUGAAGCGGCAAAAGCUCAAAUUUGAAAUCUGGUACCUUUGGGUGCCCGAGUUGUAAUUUGGAGAGGCAACUUCGGAGGGGGCGCUGGCCUAAGUUCCUUGGAACAGGACGUCACAGAGGGUGAGAAUCCCGUGCUUGGCUGGCUGUCCUCCUUCAUGUGAAGUGUCUUCGACGAGUCGAGUUGUUUGGGAAUGCAGCUCAAAAUGGGUGGUAAACUCCAUCUAAGGCUAAAUAUUGGCGAGAGACCGAUAGCGCACAAGUAGAGUGAUCGAAAGAUGAAAAGCACUUUGAAAAGAGAGUUAAACAGUACGUGAAAUUGUUGAAAGGGAAGCGCUUGAGACCAGACUCGGUGAGAGGUGAUCAGCGGUUGCUUCUGCUCCGUGCACUUGCCUGUUAUCGGGCCAGCAUCAGUUGCGACGGUGGGAUAAAGCUUUGAGGAAUGUGGCUCCCUUCGGGGAGUGUUAUAGCCUUGGGGGUAAUGCCGCCUGUUGCGACUGAGGACCGCGCUUCGGCUAGGAUGCUGGCAUAAUGGUCUUCAGCGACCCGUCUUGAAACACGGACCAAGGAGUCUAACAUCUAUGCGAGUGUUCGGGUGGAAAACCCCUACGCGUAAUGAAAGUGAACGGAGGUGGGAACUCUUUGGAGUGCACCAUCGACCGAUCCUGAUGUCUUCGGAUGGAUUUGAGUAGGAGCAUAGCUGUUGGGACCCGAAAGAUGGUGAACUAUGCCUGAAUAGGGUGAAGCCAGAGGAAACUCUGGUGGAGGCUCGCAGCGGUUCUGACGUGCAAAUCGAUCGUCAAAUUUGGGUAUAGGGGCGAAAGACUAAUCGAACCAUCUAGUAGC
rnacentral:rRNA from 1 species